GGGGGGGGGAAAUUGACUAUGCAGCAGAGCCGAGACUCACUGAAGCUUUUGUGGCUGAUUAUCUGCUUCCCUUACGAAGGAAUAUGGAAUGUGGGGCUCUCUAGAUGUCAUUGAUGUCAGCUCACCUCCUCAUAGGUUAAGGUGGCCAGGCUGAUGGGAAUUGAAGUCCAACAACUACAGAUACACGACACCAUCUUCUCAGUGACGAGACUCUCUCCCAGAGGAAGUCAAGCUGGCUCAGUCCUUAUUAGAACAUCUAGAGGGUGGCCAAAACUAUACUGUUAAAAAUAAAACAUAUUCUAUUGUGCGUGAC